rnacentral:rRNA from 1 species
UACGUAGGUGACCAGCGUUGUCCGGAUUUACUGGGCGUAAAGAGCGCGCAGGCGGUCGUUCAAGUCGAGUGUGAAAGCCCCCGGCUCAACUGGGGAGGGUCAUUCGAUACUGAUCGACUGGAAGGCAGGAGAGGGAAGCGGAAUUCCCGGUGUAGUGGUGAAAUGCGUAGAUAUCGGGAGGAACACCAGUGGCGAGGGCGGCUUCCUGGCCUGUUCUUGACGCUGAGGCGCGAAAGCUAGGGGAGCAAACGGG